rnacentral:tRNA from 2 species
CCUCCCGUCGUUCAACGGAUAGGACGCGAGCUUCCGGAGCUCGUAAUGUGGGUUCGAUUCCUGCCGGGAGGACCA